rnacentral:rRNA from 1 species
UAAUCUGCCCUGAAGACCGGGAUAACCUACCGAAAGGUAAGCUAAUACCGGAUAAGCCUACGAGAUCCUCGGAUCUUGAAGGAAAAGGAGGCCUCUGUAUACAAGCUUCCACUUCUGGAUGAGCCCGCGGCCCAUCAGCUCGUUGGCGGGGUAACGGCCCACCAAGGCAACGACGGGUAGCUGGUCUGAGAGGACGAUCAGCCACACUGGAACUGAGACACGGUCCAG